CUCUGUGACUCCUACGGGAGGCAGCAGUGGGGAAUAUUGCACAAUGGGGGAAACCCUGAUGCAGCCAUGCCGCGUGUGUGAAGAAGGCCUUCGGGUUGUAAAGCACUUUCAGUAGGGAGGAAGGUAGUGUAGUUAACACCUGCAUUAUUUGACGUUACCUACAGAAGAAGCACCGGCUAACUCCGUGCCAGCAGCCGCGGUAAUACGGAGGGUGCGAGCGUUAAUCGGAAUUACUGGGCGUAAAGCGCAUGUAGGCGGCCUGUUAAGUCAGAUGUGAAAGCCCGGGGCUUAACCUCGGAAUUGCAUUUGAAACUGGCAGGCUAGAGUCUUGUAGAGGGGGUAGAAUUUCAGGUGUAGCGGUGAAAUGCGUAGAGAUCUGAAGGAAUACCAGUGGCGAAGGCGGCCCCCUGGACAAAGACUGACGCUCAGAUGCGAAAGCGUGGGGAGCAAACAGGAUUAGAUACCCUGGUAG
rnacentral:rRNA from 1 species